UGGGAUGUAGCUCAGUGGCAAAGCACUUGCCUAGCAAGUGUAAAGUCCUGGGUUCGAUCCCCAGUACCAA
rnacentral:tRNA from 1 species